UGCAGCUGGUAGUUGCAUUCCAAGUCCUCAAAAGAAUGUUGGGAAAGACUUCUUGAAGAAAUAUUGGUCCAGGUGGAAAGCGGACCAUGUAGGUCGUUGUCGGGCAAUGCCUCACAUAAAAACGUUUACUCGUUACAGUGGUCAAAACAUUGCAUGGUUUCUGCUUACGUCAUCAAAUUUAAGCAAAGCUGCUUGGGGUGCGCUG